rnacentral:lncRNA from 1 species
CCUGUUCCUAUUAACAUUCCACCUGUACUUAUUUAUCUGCGUUUAGGCAUAGCAGCCCCUGAUUCUUGAGAAUGUUCCCCCAAAUUAUGGCGAAAAUAGAGCAGGUAGUCAUUUUUUUCAUUGAUGAGCGUUAAAAGAGCUAAGGUUAAUGAAAUCAUUUUGUUCUCAGCGUUACCAAAUUUAGGACUCAGAAGAGCCAACUUCCUCACAAUUUAGCACAUUUAUUCUUCCAAGCCAAAGAGCACAUCUGACCUGUCUUUAAUGCAAAGUUCUUAACAUGGGGCUGAGCCCACUGGCCCUCCCCAGCAUUCCCUGACUGAAUGACCACCUACAACUGUUUGAUGGAGGUUGCCAAGAAGGUUUGGCACACACGUCCUCAAUUAACAGAUUGGAUAGUUGCUAAUUAUCUGGAUGAGGGAUUUGGCUCCCUGAGCUUGCCUUUUCCUGCAAACAGGAAGGAAAGAUUCCACCAGAGUGUUCUACAUUAUUGGAAUUUGUCCCCCGUGGCUUACCAUGAUGUCACACUGACAUUUUUCUCACAAGUAUUUUUAAGGUGAAUUUGGAGUUUAGAAAAUUAAUCGCAUGGAUUAAAUAAAAGGCUUUGUAUUGAAAAUACCAUACAUCUGAACGCUCUAAUUGUGGUGAAGACUUCAGAAAUGCAGAUAUGGGGGAAGUGUUUUGGGGAUAUUUAGCUAUUGCCAUGGUUCAGGACUGACAAUCCAUUGGUACGCUGCUCACCACAUGGCAAGUUGUUUGUCUCCUUUGCCACCAAAUGUGGCUGAUGCCUUCCUAUGUCACUGCCCACCCUCACCAGCAAGUGCAAACCCACUUGAUAGUAACACAACAAAAUUGCACCACAAAGGGAACAUUUUUAGUCAACAUAUAGGACAUGUUGCACAUGUGUAAACAUUAUACAAAAGUUAGUUGGAAAUUCCAUUUACUUUCAAUUCUUAUUAUAGAUUAUUUUUUAAAACAUUAUUCAUUUCAUUAGUAAGUAGAAUACAGUGAAUGUCUUCCUCUAUUUUAUUUUAUUAUUUUAUUUCAUGAUUUUUAUUUUUUCCAUUAUAGUUGAUUUACAGUGUUCUAUCAAUUUCUACUGUAGAGCAAAGUGACCCAGUCAUGCAUAUACAUGUAUAUUCUUUUUCUCACAUUAUCCUCCAGAAUGUCUUAUUUUCAUGAGCAAGAAUCUUGUUGAAUUCCAGAGACUUCAACUUGAACAUCAGUUUUCAUCAUAGAAAAAAACCAUGAUUAUAUUGGAAGAGAAAAGAUUGGAUCAAAUAUAUACCAA